rnacentral:rRNA from 1 species
GACGAACGCUGGCGGCGUGCUUAACACAUGCAAGUCGAACGAAGUGGCGAACGGGUGAGUAACGCGUAAUCAACCUACCCUUCAGAGGGGGACAACAGUUGGAAACGACUGCUAAUACCGCAUACUGAAGGAGGGGAUUGCGUCUGAUUAGCUAGUUGGAGGGGUAACGGCCCACCAAGGCGAUGAUCAGUAGCCUGGCUUAGAGGGAGGACGGCACCAUUGGGACUGAGACACGGCCCAGACUCCUACGGGAGGGAGCAGUGGGGAAACUUCCGAAAUGGACGAAAGUCUGACGGGGCAACGCCGCGGGAGUGAUGACGGCCUUCGGGUUGUAAAGCUCUGUUAAUCGGGACGCGGUACCGGAAGAGAAAGCCACGGCUAACUACGUGCCAGCAGCCGCGGUAAUUC